rnacentral:rRNA from 1 species
UCAGGUGGCCGCAGAGAAUAGGCCCAAGCGACUGUUUACCAAAAACAUAGGUUUCUGCUAAGUCGCAAGACGAUGUAUAGGAGCUGACGCCUGCCCGGUGCUGGAAGGUUAAGGGGAUCUGUUAGAGCAAUCGAAGCAGUGAACUUAAGCCCCAGUAAACGGCGGCCGUAACUAUAACGGUCCUAAGGUAGCGAAAUUCCUUGUCGGGUAAGUUCCGACCCGCACGAAAGGCGUAACGAUUUGGGCACUGUCUCAACAACAGACUCGGUGAAAGUGUAAUUCCGGUGAAGAUGCCGGAUACCUGCGACAGGACGGAAAGACCCCAUGGAGCUUUACUGUAGCUUGACAUUGGGUCUUGGUACUACAUGUACAGGAUAGGUGGGAGGCUUUGAAACCAGGACG